rnacentral:rRNA from 1 species
UACGUAGGGUGCAAGCGUUGUCCGGAAUUAUUGGGCGUAAAGAGCUCGUAGGCGGUUUGUCGCGUCGAAUGUGAAAUCCCGGGGCUCAACCCCGGGUCUGCAUUCGAUACGGGCAGACUAGAGUUCGGUAGGGGAGUCUGGAAUUCCUGGUGUAGCGGUGAAAUGACGCAGAUAUCAGGAGGAACACCGGUGGCGAAGGCGGGACUCUGGGCCGAUACUGACGCUGAGGAGCGAAAGCGUGGGGAGCAAACAGG